rnacentral:rRNA from 1 species
GAUGAACGCUGGCGGCGUGCCUAAUACAUGCAAGUCGAGCGAACAGGCGAGUGGCUUGCUCCUCUGACGUUAGCGGCGCACGGGUGAGAAACACGUGGAAAACCUACCUAUAAGAGUGGUAUAACUUCGGGAAACCGUAUCUAAUACCGGAUAAUAUAUUGAACCACAUGGUGCAAUAGUGAAGGACGGUUUUGCUUUCACGUAUAGAUGGACCCUCGCCGCGUUAGCUAGUUGGUAGGGUACCGGCUUACCAAGGCAACGAGGCGUAGCCGACCUGAGAGGGUGAUCGGCCACCUGAGAGCUUGGCCAGGGUCAAGGCUACUAAGGGAGGCAGCAGUAGCGAAUCGUACGCAAAGGGCGAAAGCAUGACGGAGCAACGCCGAGCGAGUGAUGACGGUCUCCGGAUCGUAAAAAUCUGUUACGAGGGAAGAACAAAUGUGUAAGUAACUAUACCCGUCGUGACGGUACCUAAUCAGAAAGCCACGGCUAACUACGUG